ensembl:lncRNA
UUGAUUUAGUAACUUUUUAUUGAAGUGCAGUUUAAGGUAAUUUCACAAAGUGUUCAUUUCUGAAAAUCCCAGUCAAGACUAACCAUUUGUUCAAUCCAACAGUACAAUUCGAUUUUUUAUCAAAGUCUUUAUUAUAAGACAGAUUCAAUAGAGGACAUUUCAUAGAGGUGUAGGGCAGCACAUCAGCAUAACACCUCUUAAUUGAGUUUGAUGAAUUUCUAGAGUCUUCCAAAAACGGCACCUGUAAGACAUAAAAAGAUAUACAUCUUUUAGCAUCAAUUCUGAGCAUUUGCAGAAACCGUACUAUAAGAAAAUGCUGCCUCCAGGGUUAUGCCGCAAACUAAUAGGAGCGGGCUACUCACAAGUCAACAUAGGCUUGUCGUUUCCUGUUUGUAAUCGAUCCGUUACUUGUCUAUUAAAGGGAAAAUAUAUUAGUACAAAUUACAAUGAACAGCUUUGAAUGAACGACUACGGUAUGCCAAGUCAGCGUACUGUGAAAGAUCUUCAUGGGUGAUAGUCAGAGACUCUAGUCUAGUGAAUUCAUCAUUACAGCAUAUUAGUUUUAAUCAUCCGAAGCUGAGGCAAAGUUAAAACUUACUGGAUGUCAUCCCUCAAGUGGCUCCUGCUCUGCCAGGGCUUAUACAUCUGCAAAAAGGCAAAUACAUUUUUAGUUGACAGAACACGGUGUACAAAGAUCAUCCAAACAUGGCUUCAGUCUCAGUGCGCUGCGAGUAAGCUUCAUGUUUUGUCAGAAGAACCUUAUAACAAAUCAUCAUCGACUGAUAGAAGCGACCACGUUGUGGCAAGUACACUUACAGAGGGAAGGAGGUCUGUGCCAUUGGAGGAUCCCAAUGUUCACGUAAUGUCUGUUUCAAAGAUAAGGAUGCAAUUGGUUAGCAUCAACUGCAUUUAACAUUCAAUUUAAGACAAGCAGCACGCGCUUGUCAGUGUACUGUGAAAUAGCUUCAUGAGUUAGUCAGAGACUCUAGUCAAGUGAUUCAUCACUUAAGCACGUAACACCAACAGUCAUCUUAACCCAGGACUAGACUUACCAGUCACAUGACAAUCAUGGGCCUCAAACCAUCUUCAAUCUGAAAUGAAAAAGGUAGCAGAGUGAGACCCUAGUUGUGUGACCGCCACCAAAUGGUUACAUUUUUUUUUUAAAUGUCUGUGCGCUGCGAGUAAGCUUCAUUUAAGUCAGAAGAACCUUAUAACAAAUCAUCACCGACAGACUUAAAGGAGAAAUCCUGUGUAAAAUGGAUCUGGGAUAUGUUUAGUAUGAUAAUGAGAUGGACUGUUCGGUUGGGAGCAAAAAAGCUCAUAGACUCAUUCUUAGGUUGGCUGUUUUUAGCCGUUUCUACCAAAACCGCUUUAAACUUGGAACGAUGGGGGCAUGUCUCAUAGUAAAAACUAAAUAGCUAUUUUAAACUACUGACAAGGCUAGAAGUAGCCCGACACUUCUUUCGUAAUAUAAUAAGGGUCUUGGAAUAUUAAACGAGGCAUUGAUAACUUUGCAAGUGUACAGAUGUUUAUUAACCAAGGACAUUUUAUACACACACACAAUACCAUCAGUAGUUCACCCGUUGACGCCAUCUUGUCGAUAAGACUCAAUAAGUAGAUUGGGAGCUUGCCCUUUGUUUACGGAUGUCACAAGCUCUGUGUUCGCCAACCUACCUAUGGAGUCUUAAAGACAAGAUGGCGUUGAUGGGUGAACUACUGAUGGUAUUGUGUGUAUAAAAUGUCCUUUGUUAAUAAACAUCUGUACUAGGGAUGGGCAUAAUUAAUCGAUGCUCGAUAAUCGAUCCUUAAGAAAUGCGUCGAUCAAUUUAUAUUGUUAUCGAUCAAAAGGACGUUGUGUUGCAUACUGUGAGUCUUGAAGCAUUUAAUUGAAUAUCAAUAUGUGGGAGAAAUACCACCCUGCCGACUGGUGGAAAGUGAAGGAAGAAGGUUCCCCAGGCUGUCAAAGUUAGCGCGACAAUACCUCUGCAUCCCCGCAACUUCGGUCCCGUCAGAGCGGGUGUUUUCUGCUGCUGGACUGACAGUUACAAGGCUGCGUUCGCGUCUGACCCGCGAGCAUGUUAACAUGCUUAUAUUCCUAAACAAAAAUAUGUAGGCUGGAGUUACUGUAUGCUAUGGACAGUAGGGACAGUCACCACCGUAUGUGAGUCGCUCUUUUUUUUCUUAAUGGGUCGUCUCUCGCUCCGCUUUUCUUUUGGCUUGGUGCCUCUUGGAGUCGUUACAUUUUGCCAAAACUGAUAUUUUAGCAACAAGUUCAGCCUUAUAUAUGUUCAAUAAGGUAUUGCUUUUAGAUAGACUUGUUCAUGCAAUUGUUUGUAAAUGGGUGGCUCGUCUUUUUGUUACGAGCCUUUUCCGCGCGCCGGCUGCAGCCUAUAGGCAUUAUAUGUCGGCCUUUUUUCAAAACAGUUAUACAGUUUAAUGCCCACUUUUAGCCUACUGCCUUUGUUUGAUUAUUGUUGUCCGAUAAGUUGGCUACUUAUUGAAUGAUUAAUCGAUAAUUGAUCGAUAACUCUAACGAUGCUCGAUCAAGGACAUUUCUUCAAAUGCCCAUCCCUAAUCUGUACACUUACAAAGUUAUCAAUGCCUUUUAUAUGUUAAGACCCUUAUUAUACUAAGCUAUUUUCGGGCUACUUCUAGCCUUGCAAGUGGUUUAAAAUAGCGAUUUUGUUUUUAUUUUGAGACAAUAGCGUUUUGGUAGUCGGUAAAAACAGCAAAUUUAAGAAUGCGUCCAUAUGCGCCGUUUGCUCCAAAAUGAACAUUCUAACUCGUUGUCAUUCCAAAUGUAUCCCAGAUCCAUUUUACAGAUUUCUCCUCGAGGUUGCAAAUACACUUACAGAGGGUAAUGAAGUCUGCUCCAUCAGAAUGAUCCAGAUGUUCACUUCAAGCCUGUG